rnacentral:lncRNA from 1 species
AACAAGUCCGUUUAUUAGCUGUUCUGGAGCGAUGAUAUCAGUGUUAUUGACUGUUGCAGAUAUUAAUGAAUGUGAAGAACAAACUUCUCUCUGCCCACAAAACCUGGAGUGUCUCAACAUACUAGGUUCAUUUACUUGCUCAGAAACCUCCUCGCUGUCUGUGGUGUCUGUCGUCACUGCAGUGAUGGUAGUGAUCGGUGGUGUGGCCGCGCUGCUGAUGAUCAUGUUCUGUUAUCGAAGAUAUUUUCCCAAGAAAGAAGAGUUAGUCAACGCUGGAUGUUGCCAGGGGAAAAGUUAAAAAGAAUUUGGUCAAAUUUUGUUCUAAUGUUCCUCUACAGAAUGUUAAAUGAAAAAUAUCUAACGGUCUUAAUUAUUUUAAGUUGCAAAUAUAUUGAUGUGUGGACUUUCUGUCUAUAGUAGUAGAAUAUUUUGUCUUGUUAAUUAAUAAUAGCCAUAUAGCACAAAAGCUGGACAAACGUUUUACAUUAAUAAGUAUCCCUGUUGUUGACCAUUAAACAUGACAUGACCUGCUCACAUGAUCACGUUUUUCCUCUGACUACACAUUAUGUGACUGACCAGUCCGACGGUGCUCAUUCAAUACCUACAACUCAAACUAUUGAUUAAGGUGUGGCCGGGUUAGCUCAGUUGGUAGAGCAGGCGCACAUAUAUAGAGGUUUACUCCUCGACGCAGCAGCCGCGGGUUCGACUCCGGCCUGCGGCUCUUUGCUGCAUGUCA